GCUCUAUUUUUACAACAAAAAAUAAUUUCAAACACAGCCACCAAAGCACAGUUUUGCGUCUCUAAGCAACAUGACAGUGUUUCGUUCCUGAAUGAAUCAAUGGUUUAAAUGAUUCGGUUCAAUCUCAAUGACUCACUUAUUAACAGUGACUUGCUGACACAUACUGGCCAUUUUAAUUUCACAUUUAAAGUAGCCCUGCAGAGUUUAGUUCUAACCCUGCUCCAGCACACAUAUCAUGUAGUUUUCAAAUAAGCCUAAAUGAUAAGAUUAGCUGGAUCAGGUGUGUUUAAUUAAAGUUAUAUCUAAACUGUGCAGGACUGUGGCCCUCCAGGAACUGAGUUUGACCCCUUGGCCUGUCCCAUUUUUGCCUCCCUCCCACUGUUAAAAUGUAACUAAGUAACUUUUACUCUGAGUAAAUUUUAAAUGAGCUACUUUUUACUUGUACUUGAGUAGAUUUUUAGACUGGUACUUUUACUUGUACUUAAGUAAAAUUUCAUUAAUGUAAUGGUACUUUUACUUGAGUAGAAUAUUUUUGUACUCUUUCCACCUCUGGUCAAUAGAUUUGAAGAAGUUUAAGCAACUCCAUGCUUCAACCUCAAAUCCUAGUAAUAUCAAGACUUUUCCCCAUGACUUAUACCAUUAAAGUUUAAAUUUAAGUUUGGCUUAAUUCACAUUCACUAUUCACUGAAUUCUGAUCAAAGUGUAUCAGUACAGUUUUAGAUUCAGGGCUGUGUGCUCAGGAGGGUUCAAUCUCAAUCAGUGCUGUAAUAUCAUAGGAUCUAACAGUAGGAGCCCACUGCUGGCCUGAGAAUAUAUUGUAUCUGUACUCCAAUCACAGCCGUGAAUGAAAUACUCACCGUGACCUUCACGAGAUUCUUAUCGUUAACCAUGUUCUUGCCUCAACAAAUUGAAAAGAUGAGGUUACUGUUGCUCAUAUCUGUAUAUCUGUAUAUCAGUAUAUCACAGUUUUUAAUUAGAUUCUGUGUGUUUUCAUAGUCACAUUACACUUUGUGUUACUGUUUUUAUUUACUUUUUUUUUUGAUCCUGCUAAAUUAAGCAGUUAGCGCCCUAGCAUGUUAAUCUAAAUUUACAACAAUACAGAACUUUAAGAAUAUAUCAUACUGAUUUAUUUGUGUGUGUGUGUGUGUGUGUGUGUGUGUGUGUGUGUGUGUGUGUGUGUGUGUGUGUGUGUGUGUGUGUGUGUGUGUGUGCAAGGAAAAUGAACAGUCAUAAACGGAUCCUCACAAAUAAGCCAAAUCUGAAGAUUAACUGUAUCAUUGUAGAAAAGAAAAAUCCAAACUGAAUAAUUUGAUCCCAAA
ensembl:lncRNA